CACUUUGUCUCUUUCAUUUCCCUUGGAGCUGCCCUCUCCACGUCGAUCUCUCUCUCCUUCCCUUCGAAGGCCGCCUGCUGCCCUCCACUUUCAUUUGUUCCCAAUUGCUGCGGCAUGAAGUAAAAGCCACCGAAGCAGCCACGAUUUCCCUCCACCUCUGCCAAGCUGCCAACGUUUCCCCCAUCCUGCCAGCAGUCAACGCCACCCUGCAGCUCCACCAUCUUCAGUCUACCUUCAUCCUCCACCAACAAAUUCGUGCGGUCCAGUCCACUUCUUCACUCGGUCAACGUCUCCACCGAAUCAACUGCUUCUUCAACUGGUUGUUGACCACCAGCAACGACAUGAUCCCCUGCCAGCCCCCCUUGCGUGUCUUUCUCUCCACCGAAGCAAUUUCCCCCAAGCUUUUGACCGUGUCUUUUACUCACGAAGCCAGCAAAGCCAACUCUUCUCGCCAGCGAAUUUCACGGGCCCAGCAGCCAUCAAAACAAGCUGUCUGUCUCCACCGUUUCGUGCACGACGUCAACCUGCCUCCACGCCAAUCUAGCCCAUUGAAGUCAGCCCGUCAUUUAGCUCAACAACCCGCAUCUCGGCCCGACCAUCAGCUUCCUCAAUUCUGGACCAAGCCCAGCAGUUUUGCUGUGGGCUUUGUGGCCUUUUUCAGCCUGGUCCAAGCCCCAUUGGCGUCAUCGCAAACCCGGGUUUCGGCCGCCGUCGCACCGCCGUCAUGGUGAACCGGUUUUCGCGUUAAAUCGGGAGGAUCUAAGACAAGGUAAGUCUCGAUGGUUGUAUGAUUGUGUGGUUAGGACGCCCUAGGCGUAUUAUCUUCCUAAUUGGGGUUUAGAGUGUGAACUCGCUAAGAUUUAUAUCUCACCUCGUCGUAAGCUUAACUUUUCAAGAUCGUAGGGUAGAAGAUCCGGAGUCAAGCUGAAGUGAUCUGAAGUGUAGGUUAGAUAAAAUAGUUUAUUUUGAGAGUCAGUCUUUUGAACUCUUUUGGUUGUAGACUUUUGUACUUGACUUAGUGUGUAUAUAAAAGCAUGUUUUGUUUUUGAA